rnacentral:tRNA from 1 species
AGCUCUGAGGUGUACUACAUGUCAGAUUGCAAAUCUGAAGUCGCAGGCUAACACCUGCCGGGGCUU